rnacentral:rRNA from 1 species
UACGUAGGGGGCGAGCGUUGUCCGGAUUUAUUGGGCGUAAAGAGCUCGUAGGCGGUCUGUCACGUCGGCUGUGAAAACCCGGGGCUCAACCCCGGGCCUGCAGUCGAUACGGGCAGACUAGAGUGCGGUAGGGGAGACUGGAAUUCCUGGUGUAGCGGUGAAAUGCGCAGAUAUCAGGAGGAACACCGGUGGCGAAGGCGGGUCUCUGGGCCGUAACUGACGCUGAGGAGCGAAAGCGUGGGGAGCGAACAGG